rnacentral:lncRNA from 1 species
CCUUAUCAAGUCAUCUUUCUCCUUCAUCUUUUCCUCCCAUUUCAUUCUCUAUUUUGAUGUUUCUGACCUGAUCAAAUUGUGGAUGACUUACAUUUGGAAUGUAAAUUUAGGUUCAUAAAUAUUCAGUUUGUAAGUUUUUAAAUUGAUUGUCCUACAAAAUACUAUUUAGAUGUAAAGUGAAUGUUCUUUUAAAAAGAGCAAUAUAGGUCUGGUUUUUCAUAACCUUGCUUAUCAUGAACCCCGCUACAUUGACGAUGUCACUUGCUGCCUUUUUUUCCUCCAUUCUUCAAGUGUUUAUUCUGUAAUCAGUUACUAUAGAGGAUAGAAACUCUGGAUAGUAUGUAUGUUGAAAGC